UACGUAGGCAGCGAGCGUUGUUCGGAGUUACUGGGCGUAAAGGGCGCGUAGGCGGCCCGCUAAGUCGAACGUGAAAUCCCCAGGCUCAACCUGGGAACUGCGUCCGAUACUGGCAGGCUUGAAUCCGGGAGAGGGAUGUGGAAUUCCAGGUGUAGCGGUGAAAUGCGUAGAUAUCUGGAGGAACACCGGUGGCGAAGGCGGCAUCCUGGACCGGUAUUGACGCUGAGGCGCGAAAGCUAGGGGAGCAAACGGG
rnacentral:rRNA from 1 species